GACCGCUCCGGUGGCCUAGUGGUUAGAGCGUCAGCCUCGGAUGCGGGAUGUCGAGGGUUCGAUCCCUGGCCGAGUCA